rnacentral:rRNA from 1 species
AUGUAUCUCCCUGACCGCGCCGUGUACGACGACGACGAGCCGGUGGAGCCUCCGGCGCAGGGGGCGCCGCUGGACGACUGGGAUCUCGUCCACGACGCGGCCAACGGCGGAGGCAAGCUCGUCCUCGAUGCCCACUGCGAGCACCCGGCCGUCGCCAGAGGCAAGCCGCACGAAAACUUCGUGGUGCUGGUCCAUGCCAAGGCCCCGGCGGCGCAGACACGCGCGCCGCUCGACCUCGUCACCGUGCUCGACGUCAUCGGCAGCAUGGCGGGACACAAGAUCGCGCUGCUGAAGAAGGCUAUGGAGUUCAUCGUCGACCAGCUCGGCCCUGCUGACCGCCUCAGCGUCGUGGCAUUCUCGACGGCCGCGCAUCGGGUCAUCCCGCUGACGCGCAUGUCGGACGCCGGGAAGGUCAAGGCCAAGGACGCUGUGCAGUUACUCGAGGCUGAAGGUGGAACGAACAUCCUCAAGGGCCUCACCGAGGCUGCCAAAGUGCUCGACGGCCGCCGGCACAAGAACGCCGUAGUCAGCGUCAUCCUUCUCUCGGACGGCCAGGACACGUACAAUCUCGAUCUUGGAGGUCUCGUGCCAAGCUCCUUGCUAAGCGGUGCCGGCCACCGAUCGACGCCGAUACACACCUUCGGCUUCGGCGUCGACCACGACUCGUCAGCCAUGCACACGAUCGCCGAGGAGACCGGCGGCACGUUCUCCUUCAUCGAGGACGAGAAGGUGGUGCAAGACUCGUUCGCGCAGUGCAUCGGCGGGCUCCUCUCCGUGGUCGUGCAGGAGGCGCUGAUCAGCGUCAAGUGCGUGAACCCGGUGCGCGUCCGUGCAGUCAAGUCCGGCCGCUACGACGCCAGCAUCGACGCGUACGGGCGCUCCGCCUCGGUGGACGUCGGCGAGCUCUACGCGGAUGAGGAAAGGCGCUUUCUGCUCCUGGUGGACGUGCCGAGGGCCGGCGACGCGGACGACGUGACGCGGCUCGUGAAGGUGACAUGCACCUACCGCGACACGGCGACCGGGCAGGUGCUGGACGUGGCCGGCGAGGACAUAGCGGUGCAGAGGCCGGUGGAGCUGGCCAAGGACCAGCAGCCGUCCAUGGACGUGGCGCGGGAGAAAUUCCGCGUGGAGGCGACGGAGGACAUCGCGGCGGCGCGCGCGGCCGCGGAGCGCGGCGAGUACGCGGAGGCCGCGAGGAUACUGGAGCGCAGGCGGGAGGCGCUGGCGGACGACGCAAGGUGCAAGGCGCUGGUGGAGGAGCUGCGGGAGCUGAGCACCCGCGUGGCGAGCCGGCGGGAGUACGAGCAGUCGGGGUGCGCGUGCAUCCUGACCGGCUACAGCUCCCACGCGCAGCAGCGCGCCGCGUCGGCCUUCGUGGCCGGUGCCGAGGGGUACGGCUGUCGCCAGCCGGGCGGGGCGGCUCCGGGCGCGGCGCCGUCGAUUCUAGGUUUUGGCGCGGCCGGGGCGUAUGCGACGCCGGCGAUGCAGAGGAUGGUUGGCGCGUCGAGGCAAAUACGUGAGCAGCAGCAGCAGCAGCCGGCGACGUCCAAGAGGAAGAGCGGAAGCAAUGGCGGUGCAUACUAA